rnacentral:rRNA from 1 species
AGUGAACGCUGGCGGUAGGCCUAACACAUGCAAGUCGAACGGCAGCACAGUAAGAGCUUGCUCUUACGGGUGGCGAGUGGCGGACGGGUGAGGAAUACAUCGGAAUCUACUUUUUCGUGGGGGAUAACGUAGGGAAACUUACGCUAAUACCGCAUACGACCUACGGGUGAAAGCAGGGGAUCUUCGGACCUUGCGCGAUUGAAUGGGCCGAUGUCGGAUUAGCUAGUUGGCGGGGUAAAGGCCCACCAAGGCGACGAUCCGUAGCUGGUCUGAGAGGAUGAUCAGCCACACUGGAACUGAGACACGGUCCAGACUCCUACGGGAGGCAGCAGUGGGGAAUAUUGGAUAAUGGGCGCAAGCCUGAUCCAGCCAUACCGCGUGGGUGAAGAAGGCCUUCGGGUUGUAAAGCCCUUUUGUUGGGAAAGAAAAGCAGCAGGUUAAUACCCCGCUGUUCUGACGGUACCCAAAGAAUAAGCACCGGCUAACUUCGUG